rnacentral:rRNA from 1 species
GUCGAAACGAUGAUGCCCAGCUUGCUGGGGUGGAGUUAGUGGGCGAAACGGGGUGAGUAACACGUGAGUAAACCCUGCCCCCUGACUCUGGGAUAAGCGUUGGAAACGACGUCUAAUACUGGAUAUGACUGCCGGCCGCAUGGUCUGGUGGUGGAAAGAUUUUUGGUUGGGGAUGGACUCGCGGCCUAUCAGCUUGUUGGUGAGGUAAUGGCUCACCAAGGCGACGACGGGUAGCCGGCCUGAGAGGGUGACCGGCCACACUGGGACUGAGACACGGCCCAGACUCCUACGGGAGGCAGCAGUGGGGAAUAUUGCACAAUGGGCGAAAGCCUGAUGCAGCAACGCCGCGUGAGGGAUGACGGCCUUCGGGUUGUAAACCUCUUUUAGUAGGGAAGAAGCGAAAGUGACGGUACCUGCAGAAAAAGCACCGGCUAACUACGUGC